rnacentral:rRNA from 1 species
UACGUAGGUGGCAAGCGUUAUCCGGAAUUACUGGGCGUAAAGCGCACGCAGGCGGUCUUUUAAGUUUGACGUGAAAGCUCCCGGCUUAACUGGGAGAGGUCGUUGAAGACUGGAAGGCUUGAGACGAUGAGAGGGGUGCAGAAUUCCCGGUGUAGUGGUGGAAUGCGUAGAUAUCGGGAGGAAUACCAGUGGCGAAAGCGGCACCCUGGCAUCGGUCUGACGCUCAUGUGCGAAGGCGUGGGGAGCGAACGGG